rnacentral:lncRNA from 1 species
AAAUUAUUUCAUUAAAAAGAAACGAGAGUAAAACAGGGCCUCGUUAUAAACCUUGUCGACCAGAACAUGGAAAAGAGUACCAGUGAACGAAUAAUAUUUACAAUUAUACAAAAUGAUGGAAAACUUAUAUGUAGAAAAAUUAUGUUUUUACAUCAAGACAACUAAACCAAAUGAAACCCCAAGGACGAAAAAUGUACAAUCCUAGAGCUUCAAUUCUAAUAGCUUUACGGACUUCGUCCAAAGAUUUUCUUUAUCAAAUUCUUUUGUUGCCUAUGUAGAUGAGCCCAGGCAACAAGAUAUGUUUGCUAUAAGAUGUUUUUGACGUAAAAUGUGGUUAGAUUGCAUCGUGUGAAUCAUGAGAAGUUAAAUUUCCGAAAGAA